rnacentral:rRNA from 2 species
CUGUGAGCUCGAUGAGUAGGGCGGGACACGUGGUAUCCUGUCUGAAUAUGGGGGGACCAUCCUCCAAGGCUAAAUACUCCUGACUGACCGAUAGUGAACCAGUACCGUGAGGGAAAGGCGAAAAGAACCCCGGCGAGGGGAGUGAAAAAGAACCUGAAACCGUGUACGUACAAGCAGUGGGAGCACAGAGCAAUCUGUGUGACUGCGUACCUUUUGUAUAAUGGGUCAGCGACUUAUAUUCUGUAGCAAGGUUAACCGAAUAGGGGAGCCGAAGGGAAACCGAGUCUUAACUGGGCGUUAAGUUGCAGGGUAUAGACCCGAAACCCGGUGAUCUAGCCAUGGGCAGGUUGAAGGUUGGGUAACACUAACUGGAGGACCGAACCGACUAAUGUUGAAAAAUUAGCGGAUGACUUGUGGCUGGGGGUGAAAGGCCAAUCAAACCGGGAGAUAGCUGGUUCUCCCCGAAAGCUAUUUAGGUAGCGCCUCGUGAAUUCAUCUCCGGGGGUAGAGCACUGUUUCGGCAAGGGGGUCAUCCCGACUUACCAACCCGAUGCAAACUGCGAAUACCGGAGAAUGUUAUCACGGGAGACACACGGCGGGUGCUAACGUCCGUCGUGAAGAGGGAAACAACCCAGACCGCCAGCUAAGGUCCCAAAGUCAUGGUUAAGUGGGAAACGAUGUGGGAAGGCCCAGACAGCCAGGAUGUUGGCUUAGAAGCAGCCAUCAUUUAAAGAAAGCGUAAUAGCUCACUGGUCGAGUCGGCCUGCGCGGAAGAUGUAACGGGGCUAAACCAUGCACCGAAGCUGCGGCAGCGACGCUUAUGCGUUGUUGGGUAGGGGAGCGUUCUGUAAGCCUGUGAAGGUGUACUGUGAGGUAUGCUGGAGGUAUCAGAAGUGCGAAUGCUGACAUAAGUAACGAUAAAGCGGGUGAAAAGCCCGCUCGCCGGAAGACCAAGGGUUCCUGUCCAACGUUAAUCGGGGCAGGGUGAGUCGACCCCUAAGGCGAGGCCGAAAGGCGUAGUCGAUGGGAAACAGGUUAAUAUUCCUGUACUUGGUGUUACUGCGAAGGGGGGACGGAGAAGGCUAUGUUGGCCGGGCGACGGUUGUCCCGGUUUAAGCGUGUAGGCUGGUUUUCCAGGCAAAUCCGGAAAAUCAAGGCUGAGGCGUGAUGACGAGGCACUACGGUGCUGAAGCAACAAAUGCCCUGCUUCCAGGAAAAGCCUCUAAGCAUCAGGUAACAUCAAAUCGUACCCCAAACCGACACAGGUGGUCAGGUAGAGAAUACCAAGGCGCUUGAGAGAACUCGGGUGAAGGAACUAGGCAAAAUGGUGCCGUAACUUCGGGAGAAGGCACGCUGAUAUGUAGGUGAAGCGACUUGCUCGUGGAGCUGAAAUCAGUCGAAGAUACCAGCUGGCUGCAACUGUUUAUUAAAAACACAGCACUGUGCAAACACGAAAGUGGACGUAUACGGUGUGACGCCUGCCCGGUGCCGGAAGGUUAAUUGAUGGGGUCAGCGCAAGCGAAGCUCUUGAUCGAAGCCCCGGUAAACGGCGGCCGUAACUAUAACGGUCCUAAGGUAGCGAAAUUCCUUGUCGGGUAAGUUCCGACCUGCACGAAUGGCGUAAUGAUGGCCAGGCUGUCUCCACCCGAGACUCAGUGAAAUUGAACUCGCUGUGAAGAUGCAGUGUACCCGCGGCAAGACGGAAAGACCCCGUGAACCUUUACUAUAGCUUGACACUGAACAUUGAGCCUUGAUGUGUAGGAUAGGUGGGAGGCUUUGAAGUGUGGACGCCAGUCUGCAUGGAGCCGACCUUGAAAUACCACCCUUUAAUGUUUGAUGUUCUAACGUUGACCCGUAAUCCGGGUUGCGGACAGUGUCUGGUGGGUAGUUUGACUGGGGCGGUCUCCUCCUAAAGAGUAACGGAGGAGCACGAAGGUUGGCUAAUCCUGGUCGGACAUCAGGAGGUUAGUGCAAUGGCAUAAGCCAGCUUGACUGCGAGCGUGACGGCGCGAGCAGGUGCGAAAGCAGGUCAUAGUGAUCCGGUGGUUCUGAAUGGAAGGGCCAUCGCUCAACGGAUAAAAGGUACUCCGGGGAUAACAGGCUGAUACCGCCCAAGAGUUCAUAUCGACGGCGGUGUUUGGCACCUCGAUGUCGGCUCAUCACAUCCUGGGGCUGAAGUAGGUCCCAAGGGUAUGGCUGUUCGCCAUUUAAAGUGGUACGCGAGCUGGGUUUAGAACGUCGUGAGACAGUUCGGUCCCUAUCUGCCGUGGGCGCUGGAGAACUGAGGGGGGCUGCUCCUAGUACGAGAGGACCGGAGUGGACGCAUCACUGGUGUUCGGGUUGUCAUGCCAAUGGCACUGCCCGGUAGCUAAAUGCGGAAGAGAUAAGUGCUGAAAGCAUCUAAGCACGAAACUUGCCCCGAGAUGAGUUCUCCCUGACUCCUUGAGAGUCCUGAAGGAACGUUGAAGACGACGACGUUGAUAGGCCGGGUGUGUAAGCGCAGCGAUGCGUUGAGCUAACCGGUACUAAUGAACCGUGAGGCUUAACCUU